UGUUGACCGAAUCUCAAUAUUUCCAGAAUGUUAUGCGCGUUGGUUUCCGGCUGAGAUCAACUUUGGUGGCUGCUAUAUUUAGAAAAUCAUUACGAUUGACUCAUGAGAGUCGCAAGAGUUUCUCUACAGGAAAGAUAACAAAUAUGAUUACCACAGAUGCUAAUUCACUUCAGGUAAA